rnacentral:rRNA from 1 species
AGUGAACGCUGGUGGUAGGCCUAACACAUGCAAGUCGAACGGCAGCACAGUAAGAGCUUGCUCUUACGGGUGGCGAGUGGCGGAUGGGUGAGGAAUACAUCGGAAUCUACUUUUUCGUGGGGGAUAACGUAGGGAAACUUACGCUAAUACCGCAUACGACCUACGGGUGAAAGCAGGGGAUCUUCGGACCUUGCGCGAUUGAAUGAGCCGAUGUCGGAUUAGCUAGUUGGCGGGGUAAAGGCCCACCAAGGCGACGAUCCGUAGCUGGUCUGAGAGGAUGAUCAGCCACACUGGAACUGAGACACGGUCCAGACUCCUACGGGAGGCAGCAGUGGGGAAUAUUGGACAAUGGGCGCAAGCCUGAUCCAGCCAUACCGCGUGGGUGAAGAAGGCCUUCGGGUUGUAAAGCCCUUUUGUUGGGAAAGAAAAGCAGCAGGUUAAUACCCCGCUGUUCUGACGGUACCCAAAGAAUAAGCACCGGCUAACUUCGUG